rnacentral:lncRNA from 1 species
UAGCAGGAUGUGGCUGCAUCACGUGGAGAUGCCUCUUUUAAAAGUGUGAUGUACAUCACCUACAGGCAGGUUUUUCAGUGCGUUCAGUGAACAGGCAAAGCAUUUUUAUUUCCAGGCCCACGGGCUCAGCUGCACAGACAGCUGAACAAGCUCCUCCAAGAUAACUCCCACAAAUGCACCCAGUGCUCAGGUUCCUGUCCUGAGACCACAGCAGAAAGUGCCUUGGAUGAAGGCUUGGACUCUGGAUCGUCUGGUGACUUCAACUGUCUGGUCUCAGGGUGGAGAACUUUCUUUGUAUGCCUAACCUGUGAGUCGAUGGUAAGAUUACAGUUAACACAUGCAUAGCUAUAGAAUGUGGUUUUUAUUCCUAAGUGUAUGCUAUUAUUUCAUUUUAAAAUGAUUUUGUUUCACACAGAAGACAGAAUACAGAAUUAGGAAUGGAGGAAGGGUGGGGGGAAGGGACUACAAAGAAAACCGUGUAGACAAUUACUUGUCUGUUGCGGGUAAAUCAGUAGGACUUCUUGUACACGAAAAAAUCAGUAAUAAUUUUGCUCACUUUUCCUUUGUUGUUUAAAUGUAAAAUGUUCUUUUUAUGAAAAAAAAAGGGUAAACGCACUCACACAUACACACAUGCUUGUUCCAAAAGUUACAUUGCUUUAUUAAAGAUUCUGAAGUAAAAGCUUG